CGGCUUAGAGUUUGAUCCUGGCUCAGAUUGAACGCUGGCGGAAUGCUUUACACAUGCAAGUCGAACGGCAGCACGGGAGCUUGCUCCUGGUGGCGAGUGGCGAACGGGUGAGUAAUACAUAGGAACAUACCCAGUAAUGGGGGAUAACGCCGAGAAAUCGGUGCUAAUACCGCAUACGCCCUAAGGGGGAAAGCGGGGGAUCUUCGGACCUCGCGUUAUUGGAUUGGCCUAUGUCUGAUUAGCUAGUUAGUGAGGUAAAGGCUCACCAAGGCGACGAUCAGUAGCUGGUCUGAGAGGAUGAUCAGCCACACUGGAACUGAGACACGGUCCAGACUCCUACGGGAGGCAGCAGUGGGGAAUUUUGGACAAUGGGCGAAAGCCUGAUCCAGCCAUUCCGCGUGAGUGAAGAAGGCCUUCGGGUUGUAAAGCUCUUUCGGCAGGAACGAAAUGGUUGCGGUUAAU
rnacentral:rRNA from 1 species